AUGCUCUCUUUUGACAGCACAUAUAAUAAAACUAAAAUGAUACAGAGAAGGUUAGAAUGGCCCCGGCACAAGGAAGACAGGCAAAUUCAUGAAGAGUUCCAUAUUUUG